rnacentral:rRNA from 1 species
GACGAACGCUGGCGGCGUGCCUAAUACAUGCAAGUAGAACGCUGAAGGAGGAGCUUGCUCUUCUGGAUGAGUUGCGCACGGGUGAGUAACGCGUAGGUAACCUGCCUGGUAGCGGGGGAUAACUAUUGGAAACGAUAGCUAAUACCGCAUAAGAGUAGAUGUUGCAUGACAUUUACUUAAAAGGUGCAAUUGCAUCACUACCAGAUGGACCUGCGUUGUCUUAGCUAAUUGGUGGGGUAACGGCUUACCAAGGCGACGAUACAUAGCCGACCUGAGAGGGGGAUCGGCCACACUGGGACUGGGACAAGGGCCAGACUCCUACGGGAGGCAGCAGUAGGGAAUCUUCGGCAAUGGACGGAAGUCUGACCGAGCAACGCCGCGUGAGUGAAGAAGGUUUUCGGAUCGUAAAGCUCUGUUGUAAGAGAAGAACGAGUGUGAGAGUGGAAAGUUCACACUGUGACGGUAUCUUACCAGAAAGGGACGGCUAACUACGUG